GAUGAACGCUGGCGGCGUGCUUAACACAUGCAAGUCGAACGGAAAGGCUCCUGCUUGCAGGGGUACUCGAGUGGCGAACGGGUGCGUAACACGUGGGCGACCUGCCCUGCACUUCGGGGUAAGCCAGGGAAACGGGGUCUAAUAUCGGAUAGGACAGUGGUUUGGGUGGCAUUCAGGAAAGUUUUUUGGGUGUGGGGUGAGCUGGCGGCGUAACAGCUUGUUGUAGGGGUAAUGGCCUACCACGGCGUGGGCGGGAAGCCGGCCAUUGAGGGUGUACGGCGACACUGGGACUGAGAGACGGCACAGGCUCCUACGGGUGGAAGAAGUGGGGAAGAUUGCACCAUGGGCGCAAGCCUGAUGCAGCGGCGCCGCGUGGGGGAUGACGGCUUUCGGGUUAAAAAAUCCUUUCGCUAGAGACGAAGCGUUAUGUGACGGUACCUAGAGAAGAAGCACCGGCUAACUACGUG
rnacentral:rRNA from 1 species